UUCUUAACAUUUUAUUCACUUCAAGUCACCCCAUUUUGCCCUGAUUUCUUCUGAAGAACAGAAACUUUGGUUAUAAGAAGCACUUCUGGGUUCUGACAGACAGUGAACCUGCUGGAGUCGGUGGUGGGGAGGAAUGUAGCGAUCCUUGGAUUUAUGACGGCUGCGCUGCUUGUUGCACUCGUUGUGGUCCUGCUCUCGAUCCACGUCCCGGGAACGGUGCCGGGACUCCCUGUGUCUGUGGUCACUGCUCCCGUGGGUCUCGUCUCUGUGGUUGUGGUCACGGUGUGAGGCAUAGUGGUCCACGUGGUCAUGGGAAUAAUCUUCCUUUGGCUCUACGUAGGCAGAGUCUCGACUCUCCUGGGUUUCCGAGUCAAAUGUCUCUUGCCUGGAGAGGCCGCGACUUGUCCCACUGCGAUGGUUGUGGUGUGGGGCUGAGGAGGAAGAGCGGUGCUGGGAUUUCUUGACUGGUUCCACACUAGGUUCUUCUUCAGCUUGGGAAGCAGAACGGAUAGGAGCGGAGCGAUCAGUCCUCUGAUCACCUUGAGAACCCUGGCAGCGAAAGGAGCACACCAGGCGUUAACCAAGGCCGUUGGAUUCUUGCCAGA
rnacentral:lncRNA from 10 species